UAAAAUUAUAAAUGCGAAUAACAACAACAAUAAUAAUCAUUAAUCAAAACAAUCAAACAUUAUAAGGAUGAACAAUAAAAACAAUGAAAUCGCCUCCGCGCAGGUGACAUUUCCAUUUCUAUUCUU
rnacentral:sRNA from 1 species